CCGCUUGCGUGUCGUCUCGGGGGUCCAUUGACUAGAAAUGUUACAGCAAAUUUGAGAGGGCGUCUGCUACAAGGCGUCCUCUGUCUCCGGCAAGGCCCUUCACCAGCGGACUCCCCCGGCGAAAAUGCACACUUCCACCGUCCUCCUCGGUGGCUCCCCUCCCCUGGCGGCCUGGCGUGCCCCUUCCCGGAUGAAUCCGGUCCGCGGCCGCAUCGGGCGGAUCAAACUCCAGCGCGUGGGGAGGAUUUGCCUGAAGUCGCCUCCUAGAACAACUGUCAUCCCGCCAAAGGGCUUGUCGAGGCUGUUCUCAUUAGUGAACCUCAACACGUCUCGUAAGCUCUUGUCGAGUGCCUCAAAGCAAUUUCUGUGUGCCAUUGGAGCUUCGUCCCACAGUAUCAGUGAUGUAUUUGUUAGUAGAAGUGCUGCAAUGCCACUGGACGCAACUGCCACUACUAUCUUUCCCUCUGAUCGAAGCCUCGCUAUGAUUGCUUUCCAAAGGUAUGUCUUACCUGUCCCACCAUAGCCAUCCACAAAUAUAAGCUUCCCUUGUGAUUGGUCUGCUGAUUCAAUUAUUGCAUCAAAGGCCCUUUUCUGGUCUGCAUUUAGGCUUUUUAGUAUUUGCAGGUGCUCAUCCUUCAACUUGUCUCUGUCAUGGAUCAUUUCUCCUUUCAUGAGUCCCUUUUCGGUAUUGUUUAACUUGGCCAUGUCAGCUAUCUCUAUUCCAGGGUACUCCUUUAGUGAUUUUCCAGCUUGUUCCAUUAGCUUCUCAAUUUUCAUCAGAGCACAGUUUCUUUUAUGGGAAGGCGCAAGGUGGCUGGUUGAGUUUUCUGUUUGCUGUAUGUCUUCAGAGAGUGCUUCCCAGUUUGAUUCCCACAGCCUAUUUGGAUCGGUAAUCUCACAAUGCCGCAGAAUGGUUGCAAAUAAUUGCCGUAGUUGCAUCCCAGACGCCCAGCUGGAUGCUUCCUUGAUGCAGUUGAUCCACUCCUUGUCAUCAUUUAAAAAACCUAGUGCAUGACAUGCUGACUUGUAUGAAGAGUGCACGACUCCAUUGACAGUCCUGAUGUCUUCAAAUGAUGUGCAGCCCUUUGCAGUGUUGAGAAGCAUUCUGAGAUAAUACCUUUCUCCACUCACAGGGUGAGCAUUGUAGAUCCUGCCAAUUUUGUUGCCCCUUUUUCGUCUUGUCCAUUGCUUUUCUUUGGCAUGCCAUGUCCAUUUGGUUGGAAAUUCUGAGUAUGUUAAUUCCCUGGCAUCCUCAUGCUUUUUGUUUGUCUUCAUCCACUCUGUAAACAUGGUAACUGCUGAACCCGGCAGUUUUACUAUUUCCUCAAGGUUUGUCGAGUCAGGAAAAAUCACUUGUUGUUCAUUCUCCAAGUGGAACCGUAGCCUCUGAACAGAUGGUUCUUUGUAGUUCAGGUUAAACCUGAAUAUUCUCCAACAAGCUUCAUAUGCUGUGAGAUAUCUGCAUCCCAGGCUGCAGCUGGGUUGAUCUACGUACUCCUCUCUUGUGGAUGAAGCAGCAACAGCAAUGCACGGCCUUAAACACUUGGAAGCUAGUAGCUGAAGAAAUGUAUGACGAACACAGAUACAGCAAGAUGAGUUGAUGAAGGGAACAAGCUAAGAUGACGCGUUGAUCCUUGGCCAAGCCAGACGACGACUCCCAUUGCUAGACCUCUUUGUUUAUGAGCCGUAGCGGAGGAUGUGGAGCAAUGCAGCUGCAGCUCACUGGCCUCUCUCAAGUCUCCAACCGUGCUUCACGGGCACACAGUUUUUUGCUUCACGGAAGCAACGGACGGACGGACCCCAAGAAGCUCCUUGGAUUCCUGCGUCUACGUGAGCCCAUACUCUUAGGCCUUGUUUUGUAAAAAAAAUUGAAAAUGUACGUACUUUCAUUUGUAUUUGACAAAUAUUAUCUAAUUAUAGGCUAAUUAGACUUAAAAAAUUCGUCUCGCAAA